rnacentral:rRNA from 1 species
CCGAAUGUACGCGGAGGACAUUACAGAGUUAUACAACUCCCAUACCAUCUGUUAACCUACCCAGUUAUGCCUCGGCGUAAGCUCGGUUGGAGGCACCUGCAGCUACCCUGUAGUUGCGGACUGCCAACUCCAGCCGCGGCCCGCCGGCGGUACACUAAACUCUGUUUUAUUUUAUAUUCUGAGCGUCUUAUUUUAAUAAGUUAAAACUUUCAACAACGGAUCUCUUGGUUCUGGCAUCGAUGAAGAACGCAGCGAAAUGCGAUAAGUAAUGUGAAUUGCAGAAUUCAGUGAAUCAUCGAAUCUUUGAACGCACAUUGCGCCCAUCAGUAUUCUGGUGGGCAUGCCUGUUCGAGCGUCAUUUCAACCCUUAAGCCUAGCUUAGUGUUGGGAAUCUGCUGUACUGCAGUUCCUUAAAGACAGUGGCGGAGCGGCGGUAGUCCUCUGAGCGUAGUAAUUUAUUUCUCGCUUUUGUCAGGCUCUGUCCUCCCGCCAUAAAACCCCCAAUUUUUUAGUGGUUGACCUCGGAUCAGGUAGGAAUACCCGCUGAACUUAAGCAUACUA